ACCAUUCCCCUGAUAGCAGGUUUUCGAUGUAUCUAAGGAAGAAUGUGAGGAUGAGAGAUAUUAGAAAGAGGAAGAAAUUCAGACAGGCAUUUUAGAGAUCGUGUCAGGCCUUGCAUGAUUUCAGACCUGGCAGAAAACACUAGAAAGGAUCUCCUUCCGUCCCCACCCCACAUUUGUGCAGCCACAGAUUCAUGAGACACUGUGUCUGUGUAUAUCACAUGGGGAUCAAGAUGUCCUCCACUCUACCUCCAGCCCUUAACUCCUGCCUGCUCUUACAUCCCACCCAUCUCUCCCUGUCCCCAAAUCUCUGGUGUCCCCUACUCCCCAGUUAGAGUCAGGAUAUCCAUACCUAUCUCACAGUGUUCUCCUUGGAAUUUCUUUGGACAGCUGCAUCGCUGAAUGUUGGAGAAGUACUUGUAGGACACACAUGUUCCUCCAUUCAGGCAGCCGCAGUUUGCUGGAGAGCACAGAGGUGGAGGGAAGACCAAACUUCUAAGUCAGAUGUGGCAACACAGACUAAUGAAGGGGUCCCCUUUCCCAAAGCUUCUUAUAAAAGAGCAGGCAGGUGCCAGGUGCGCAAGAAGAACCAGGAUGUCCAGACUUGGCCUUGAGACUAUGUCCAGGAAACUGGGCCCCUGAAAAGGCUAUUUUCUGACCAGCAGGAACCAAAGGGAAGCUCACAUCAAGGCACAGGAUGUAUUCCUGGUCUGCUGUACCAAAAAUGUUCAACAUGGCGGUGACUGGGCGGCUCAGUCAGUUGAGCAUCCGACUCUUGGUUUUGGCUCAGGUCACGGCCUGCGUUGGGCUCUGAGCUGGGCGUGGAGCCUGCUUGGGGUUCCCCCUCUCUCUCCCUCUGCACUUCUCUCUCAAAUAAAUAAAGUGAAAAUAAUAAUAACAAAAAAAGAA